UGGGGAAUAUUGCACAAUGGAGGGAACUCUGAUGCAGCGACGCCGCGUGAACGAAGAAGGCUUUCGCGUCGUAAAGUUCUUUUAUAUGGGAAGAUAAUGACGGUACCAUAAGAAGAAGCCCCGGCUAACUACGUGCCAGCAGCCGCGGUAAUACGUAGGGGGCUAGCGUUGUCCGGAAUCACUGGGCGUAAAGGGUUCGCAGGCGGAAAUGCAAGUCAGGUGUAAAAGGCAGUAGCUUAACUACUGUAAGCAUUUGAAACUGCAUAUCUUGAGAAGAGUAGAGGUAAGUGGAAUUUUUAGUGUAGCGGUGAAAUGCGUAGAUAUUAAAAAGAAUACCGGUGGCGAAGGCGACUUACUGGGCUCAUUCUGACGCUGAGGAACGAAAGCGUGGGUAGCAAACAGG
rnacentral:rRNA from 1 species